CCGCACGAGCGUACCCCUGGUCUUCAGUUUGCCAUCGGGUGAUGCCGAGCACUCUGGAGAGACUGCCCAGGAUAACGGGGAGGAAGGUGGGGAUGACGUCAAGUCAGCAUGGCCUUUAUGCCUGGGGCUACACACGUGCUACAAUGGCCGGUACAAAGGGUUGCAAUCCCGCAAGGGGGAGCCAAUCCCAAAAAACCGGCCUCAGUUCAGAUUGUGGUCUGCAACCCGACCACAUGAAGGUGGAAUCGCUAGUAAUCGCGAAUCAGAAUGUCGCGGUGAAUACGUUCUCGGGCCUUGUACACACCGCCCGUCACGUCAUGGAAGUGGGUUGCACCAGAAGUGGCUUGUUUAACCUUCGGGAAAACGGUCACCACGGUGUGAUUCACAACUGGGACGAAGUCGUAACAAGGUAGCCCUAGGGGAACCUGGGGCUGGAUCACCUCCUU
rnacentral:rRNA from 1 species